AUAAUUUUAACUAAAAUAUUAUAUUCCCUCCAACAAAUUUAACUCUCCCUCUCAUUUUCUUUUGACCAAAAAGAAAACUUAACAAAAAACACUCCAAAAAAGUCUCAAGUAUCUGAAAGAGUCCUCUCAUCUUCAUCCUCAAAACCUAGCCAAUUGAUUCUCGAAGCCAUGGUUGAAUUUGAAACCUCAACUCUCAGUUUUUGCUUUAAAGCAUGAAAACCUCUCAAAUUCACAGGUUUGUAAAUCUUAUGAAGAGACAUAUUUGGAUUGAAAGUGAAGCUCUUGCCAAGGGAUGAAUCUGCUAAACAAAGGUUGUGAAUAUGCUAUAUUUAUCAUUAAACUUGGCGUUCCUGGACGUGUAAAUGAAUCUAAGCACCCCUUUAUGACUAACUUGCUAGCGAAUCACAAAUGAGUUUUUAAUGAUUAAAUGUUUUGGUCAUGGAUGAAUGGGUGAGUACUAUUUGAAGUGCAAAUGGCAAGAUUUAGCCAUGGCGAUUUGGUUUUUGUUCUGAUGUGUUCUGUUUCAACGUUAUCUGUUUAAAGUUGGAGUUAAAAAAAGAGUUCUUACUUGUGGCGAUUAGAAUUUCGUUCUAAUGUUUGUAAGUUGAAUGUUAUAUGUUUGACCAUAAAUGGUUAGUGUUUCGUUGUAUAUAUUUGGAUUUUCAUUCUAAUGUUUUUUGUAUUAGCGUAAUCUAUUAAAAAUUGUAGCGCAAAUUAGGUUUUAGUCAUAACUAUUCAUAGCGAGUUUUUAGCUAUGGCGAUUUGAAACUUGUUCUAAUGUUCUCUUUAUUAACGUAAUUUGCUACAAAUUGGAGUGAAAAUUGUGAGCAUUUUGCUAUGGAGUUCUUACAUGUAUUGAGUACCCAAAAUAGUUCAUGAGUUUCUAAUGUUACAUGUAUUGAGUUGUCUUACCAACUCUUUCAUGAACCGAACAUAAAAAUACAUAACAAGAGGUAAUCAUGGAAUGUAAAUUUUUUUUAAGAAGACCAUUGCUUGUGCUAAGUGUACAUAAGUGUAUGAAAUUAGAAUCUUAACAACUAUAUAUGGAUGUCCUGGUGACAUGUACUUAAGAGUGUAUGCCUUUAUCAAAUGAAUACAAGGAUAUAAUGGAUGUAUCAAACUAGUAUGUGGCAAUUGUGUUUUAAGUCCAUCACUUUAUAUGGAUCCUUUUAGGGUGAAAAACUCCUUUUGUAAAUACAUCAGAUCCUUUUGAUUAUUCUUUUUGGCAUUUCACUUCUAUUUUUAUAAGAGCAUCUGAUUUCAGUGGAGCUUAAUCAACAAUGUGGACUGUCCUCCAUCAAGUUUAGUGUCUUUGUUUUAGUGUUUAUACACACACACACAUUCUCCCUCCGUAUUAUAUGUGUCAAGGUAUGAAGUUCAGGCAUGGUAAUCAUUCAUGGUCGGACCUCCCACUGUGAGAAUGCAUAAGUUUUAUGAAGGAGGUUUUCAGUCUAAAAUGAGCAGAAUGAAAGCGACUCUAAUUUUUGGAGUCAUGUCUGUUCUCUCAUUCAUGUUAACGCGUUGCUGCAAUUGUUAUAUCCGAGAUUGUUUAAGUAAUACAUUAAAUCAUCUCCUCGAGUUUGAAGAUAUAUCGGGAACAGUCUCCUUGCCUUCACAAGUUAAGUGUAAGGUUUGCAUACACUACGCCCUCCAUAGGCACCAGGGUAUAUUAUACACAAAUGUUUCAACUCCUAUACAACUCUAUUAGUGCUUUUAAUCUUUCUCAUGCCUCCUUGAACAUGUUACAUUUGCACAAGAUUUUCUCGGAUUCUUGACUAUGGUUUAAUGCUAUCAUUUUUUGGUGUUUCUAUAAUACAAUGAUAUUUUGUAUAUAAGAAUAGCAACACGAGUACUAUUUCUGGAUUUCAUUUUAAUGACAUCAAUAUCUUCAACAAGAAAAAUACUGAAGCAGAUAGAGUGAGGGAAGAACAUAGGAAGGUGAUGGUAGCUAACCAUCUAGAUGCAGGAGGUAAUUACUACCUUGCUUCUAAAAUAAAUGAGGCAAAAUACACUUUGCUUGGAAAGAUGAAUAACAGUGGAUCCCCAUUCUAGGCUACCUAAAAUCUUUGUUUGUUUAGAUAUUCCAAAUCCCAGAGUGGUCAAACCACUAAAAUUAGUGUUAUUUGCAUCAUUGAUAGAGCGUCUCUUGAAAUUUCUAAAAUAGAAAGGGUAUAUCUCUAUCUUUGUAGGUGUCAUUUUCUCCCUCUUCUUUUAUCAUGAUUUUGAUUAAAAAACUUUUGAAUGUCUACUUAGAAGAAGCUUGUAGAUUUAUCUGUAUUAUAUGAUGUUAUCCAAUUUUCCACUAACUCAUCUUAUUAUUAUCUUUAGAUCACAUAUAUUUCUCAUCCUUCCCUUCACCAUAAUAAAAGAAGUUGAAGUUAUUGUGUGUAACGAUUUUUUCCUCUUGUCGAUCCAGAUGUACCAGAUUCUGAAUUCUAAUGAACACUCCAACUUUUAAAGAAUAAUGGUCGUAACCUUUCUUAUUAUCGGCCAAAUAUUGCGCAUCAGGGUAGUUUACUUUGAAACAUCAGCCCUGUCUUGUUGUCCAAUAUUCCUAUAGAAUGAACACUGUUCUUGUAGGCACGAGAUUUAAGUAUUCGUCGCUUGAGACACUAUCUCCAUGUGGGCCACAAUGUGUGUACUUAAUGUCUGAAGACUCUAACAAUACAGUCAGCAAUUCUUUUUUGCUUGACAAUUAUUCAAGUAUACCAUUCUCAAUUGAAGAUCUAUCUAAAUCAAUGAAUCAGAUUGAUAUUGCAGACAUUUAUUGCAGGGAACUUGUUCAGUAUACAGGAUUGGCUUGGGAGGAGUUCAAGCAUAUAAGACAUGCAAUUGAAUUCUUGGUGCAUAAAAUUCAACAACAUUACAGAAUCAACAGAGUGUAUUGGGAUGACAGACAUGGCACACAAAGUGUUUCAUUAGAUGCAAGCCAUAACUUUUGUCCAUAAAAAAUAUACAAUAAAUUUACAAGAUAAAGCUAGCCAUGUACAAAACCUUCCAUCUUACCCAAUAACAGUAGCAACAACUGCAGGCUGAAUAUUCAAAGUCUGAAAUUGUUCAAUUACCUGAGCAAUUUUCUUGUUUCUUCAUUCUUAGUAUUCCACAUUCUGCAUUCCGCAGGUUGUAAGGCAAGUCUUACUGAUUAAUUUUUUUUAUGAUUUGUCUUAUGUUCUAUAUUUUCUCAAGGUAGACUGAGUUGAGUUGUUCAUUUGCGGUCCUGCUUUUCUUCUCUUUCCAAUAGAGAGUUGGAGUCAAUAGUUUCUAAGAGUAUUUGAUCACAUGUUUUUAUACAUUUGUAUGUUAGUGUAUUGUUUUCUUCCAGGUUUUAUCAUUCAUAUUGGUCUGCAUUGUACUUGUUUGAGAUCAUUUAACUCUUUGGUUACUGUUUUCUCCUAUAUUUGUAUUAUCAUUCAUAUUUGCCUACUGUGACAGUCUUGUAAUACAUGUCCUAUUGUUUUC